rnacentral:rRNA from 1 species
UGAGGAACAUGACCUUCGGCGGGGGAGUAGCCGGGCCCAACGGCCGGGUAAUACCGCGUACGACCAUUUGGGGUACGAUCCCCGACGUGGUGAAAGCAGCAAUGCGCCGAUGGAGUGCCUCGCGGGCCUAUCAGCUAGUUGGUGGGGGUUAACGGGCUCACCAAGGCAACGACGGGUAGCCGGCCUGAGAGGGUGACCGGCCACACUGGGACUGAGACACGGCCCAGACUCCUACGGGAGGCAGCAGUGGGGUAAA